UACAGAGGGUGCAAGCGUUAAUCGGAAUUACUGGGCGUAAAGCGUGCGCAGACGGUUAUCUAAGUCGGAUGUGAAAUCCCCGGGCUCAACCUGGGAAUUGCAUUCGAGACUGAAUAGCUAGGGUACGGAAGAGGGAAGCGGAAUUUCAGGUGUAGCAGUGAAAUGCGUAGAUAUCUGAAGGAACAUCAGUGGCGAAGGCGGCUUCCUGGUCCAGUACCGACGUUCAGGCACGAAAGCGUGGGGAGCAAACAGG
rnacentral:rRNA from 1 species